GGCUCCGUAGUUCAACUGGAUAGAAUAUCAGAUUUCGGCUCUGACGGUUGGGGGUUCGAAUCCCUCCGGGGUCACCC
rnacentral:tRNA from 1 species